rnacentral:tRNA from 2 species
GCCAAUGUAGCUCAGCUGGUAGAGCAGCUGAUUUGUAAUCAGCCGGUCGGGGGUUCGAGUCCCUUCAUUGGCU